rnacentral:lncRNA from 1 species
GAGGGAGGAGGAGCCAAGGCAGUGCACUCUGCCCGCCGUGGGGCAGCAGCUCCUCCGCAGAGAGGACGUUCCCCUCCCCCAGGGUUCUAGGCUUACAGGGCCCAUGCAAUGUCCUGUGGGACUGCUUGUGGCCUGGGUAUGAAAGAGCAGAGGGAAGAUUUUUAAAAUAGAUUUUUCCACCCUCUUUGAGCAAUAAGAGAGACCUUUCCUGCUCCGUGAGGCAGAACCAGAGGGUUUCUCCUGGAGCUCUCUGUUGGUGCUGACGUCCCUUCUGGCCUUCGAGCCGUGCGGAGCACAGGCUGGGGACCACCCAGUGGAGGAAAAAUGUGAGACUCACUGCCAGUUCAGUGGUUCUCCAAAUCCUGACUUUCUUCCCUAAUCUGCCUGCUAUUAUUUAGUUUUUGAAGUCUUUAAAUCGCUGCUCUGUGUAUCUGUCAGAUUUUAAGCUGCCUUCAGCGGGCAAGAUAGAGUGAGUAUGUCCUAAAACCAUAAUGCUGGGGCUUAUAUUUUAUUUUGUAAUUUUAUUCUUUUUAAAAAUCAAUAAUGUUUGUUUUGAUUGCAUUCAUUCUUAUGGUUACUUUCUAUUUAUGGGAAGUGAUCCUGGGGAUUUCGGUAGGAAUGUAAAAUUUCAUUACAAAAUAUGUUCAUCUUAAUAAAUGAAUUGACUUUAUGAAAGAGUAUGUCAGGACCUCCAGACCUCUCUGCCUGCCUGCUGUGCCCCAAUCACGCCAUCUGCACCCCACUCAGAGGCAGGAGCUCCAGGUCCCGGGCGGGCACGGGGAGGAGGCAGCCUGCUGGAGCUGCCCUGCCCGCCGGCCGAUUCCACUGACAGGCAGUGGACACAGUCUUCUCUCUGCAGCCACUGAUUAGUCUGCGGAGGUAACAACAGCAAGAAGUAUGCAGGGAGCAUCUGUGUUUAACCAAAAGCAGGGCUGCUGGACUCCAAGUCACCCGUCAAGGCAGAGGCCGGCGCACGGGCGGGCCCAGAGUUGAGCUGCAAGGCCCAAAGCGGUCAGAAGACCAGCUGUCCUGACGGGGUUCCGACUGGCAGGCGCACUUUGCAGUCUGCAGAGUCCUUGCACAGACACCGCUGCUCCCGAGUCCCAGCCCCCGCCCACAGGCUCAGGGAGCUAAGCCCCCACCCCAGGCUGGCCACGAGGGGGCAGUCUCGGACCCGUCUGCUGCCCUAGGGACGGCCAAGCCCACUCCCUGGGGCAGGGCCCGGGGGUCCUCAGCUUCUCUUUCGGCCUUAGCUGUUCCUUGUUUGUGUCAUUGGUUUGUUUAGCUCUGUCCUGAAGCACAGCCAGCGUCCUGAAGCACACACAGUUGAGGUGUGUGGCGAGGUGCGUUCUCCCAAAGGAAACACCCCCGUGCCACUAGCACCCAGGUUGAGGAACAGCACAGUUCCAGCUCCCCAGAAGUCCUGCCUGAGCCCUUCACAGGCAUUAACACUUAACUUCAACUGGAAAGAAAAAUGAACAGGGAUCAGCACAUAGGAAACCACUGCUGUCAAAACCAAGCCUGAGACGCACAGCGCCCAGAGGGAUAUGCACACCAAGUGCAGGAAAGA